AGAGUUUGAUCCUGGCUCAGAAUCAACGCUGGCGGCGUGCCUAACACAUGCAAGUCGCACGAGAAAGUGGAGCAAUCCAUGAGUAAAGUGGCGUACGGGUGAGUAACACGUGACUAACCUACCUUCGAGUGGGGAAUAACCUCGGGAAACCGGGGGCUAAUACCGCAUAACAUCUUCUGGCUGAGAUGCCGGUUGAUCAAAGUAGCAAUGCGCUUGAAGAGGGGGUCGCGGCUGAUUAGCUAGUUGGUGAGGUAACGGCUCACCAAGGCGAUGAUCAGUAGCCGGCCUGAGAGGGCGCUCGGUCACACUGGAACUGAAACACGGUCCAGACUCCUACGGGAGGCAGCAGUGGGGAAUUUUGCGCAAUGGGGGAAACCCUGACGCAGCAACGCCGCGUGGAGGAUGAAGUCCCUUGGGACGUAAACUCCUUUCGAUCGGGACGAUUAUGACGGUACCGGAAGAAGAAGCCCCGGCUAACUUCGUGCCAGCAGCCGCGGUAAUACGAGGGGGGCAAGCGUUGUUCGGAAUUAUUGGGCGUAAAGGGCGCGUAGGCGGUGCGGUAAGUCUGUUGUGAAAUCUCCGGGCUCAACUCGGAGCUUGCAUCAGAAACUGCCGUGCUUGAGUGUGGGAGAGGUGAGUGGAAUUCCCGGUGUAGCGGUGAAAUGCGUAGAUAUCGGGAGGAACACCCGUGGCGAAAGCGGCUCACUGGACCACAACUGACGCUGAUGCGCGAAAGCUAGGGGAGCAAACAGGAUUAGAUACCCUAGUAGUCC
rnacentral:rRNA from 1 species